GAAGGAGAAUGUAACAAGGUUUCCGUAGGUGAACUGCGGAAGGAUCAUUGUUGAU
rnacentral:rRNA from 1 species